ACACUGUGGUACCUUGUGGUAUGCACAUAAUAAAUUAUUGUAUUACUCUAUUACGUUUAGCGUGUAUGUUUACAUUGAGUAUCUGUCAUAUGCGGAGAUAUUGUUAUUGUUGUCUGGAGUGUGAAUCAUUGUAUGUAAUAUUGAAGUAUCGGUAAUAAAGUGUAUACAAAUAAUGAAUACAGUUGUUGAAUAAUCAUUACAGAGAAAGAUUCUCACAUUGGCGACGAGAACGGUGAACAGUGCAUGUGAAAUUAGUUUAAUUUCGGCUCGGGAAGUGUUGUCUUUGGAAAAAGAAUGAGAUGAGUGGUGUGUGUGUGUGUGGUGCAUGCAGGGUGGUGAUGACCUCCAGGUGAUGACUUGUGAAUGAAUUUCAACAUUGAAAUCAAAAAGGUACAACCACAAGUAACGGCCAAGUAAUUUACCAAAAUGCCGAGCAGAGAUGGAUGACCAAAUGGAUGACUGUACUUCUAAUUCUGAUGUGAGACUGAAGCGAGACGUUCAUAAACUGAGGAGACUAUAAGCGAAACAACGUGGAGUGACCUUGCUGCGGAUCUGGAGAAAAAACGAGAUGUGGUACCUUGUGGUAUGCACAUAAUAAAUUAUUGUAUUACUCUAUUACGUUUAGCGUGUAUGUUUACAUUGAGUAUCUGUCAUAUGCGGAGAUAUUGUUAUUGUUGUCUGGAGUGUGAAUCAUUGUAUGUAAUAUUGAAGUAUCGGUAAUAAAGUGUAUACAAAUAAUGAA